rnacentral:rRNA from 1 species
AGCAGCCGCGGUAAUUCCAGCUCCAAUAGCGUAUAUUAAAGUUGUUGCAGUUAAAAGCUGUAGUUGAAUUUGGGGUUUGGCCGAUUGGUCCGUUCUUGUAACGAGUACUGGUCGGUUGGCCUCACCGCUUGGGGAAGGGUAAUGCCCUUUAUUGGGUGUUGCUCGGAGCCAAGACCUUACCUUGAAAAAUUAGAGUGUUUAAAGCAGGCAUAUGCCAGAAUACAUUAGCAUGGAAUAUAGAAU